CCUACGGGAGGCAGCAGUGAGGAAUAUUGGUCAAUGGCCGCAGGGCUGAACCAGCCAAGUCGCGUGAGGGAUGACGGUCCUCUGGAUUGUAAACCUCUUUUGUCAGGGAGCAAAGUGAGCCACGUGUGGCGCUUUGCGAGUACCUUACGAACAAGCAUCGGCUAACUCCGGGCCAGCAGCCGCGGUAAUACGGGGGAUGCGAGCGUUAUCCGGAUUUAUUUUGUUUAAGUGGUGCGCAGGCGGAAUGUCAAUUCAGCGGUAAAAUUUAGGGGCUAAACCCCGUCGUGCCUUUGAAACUGGCGUACUUGAGUGAGCGAGAAGUAAGUGGAAUGCGAGGUGUAGCGGUGAAAUGCAUAGAUAUCACGCAGAACACCGGUUGCGAAGGCAGCAUACCGGCGCUUAACUGACGCUCAUGCGCGAAAGCGUGGGUAGCGAACAGGAUUAGAUACCCUUGUAGUC
rnacentral:rRNA from 1 species